CCUCCUUGUGAGCACUAGUGGAAAAUUUCUCAUCCUCACAAAACAGUAUCUUUCAUGAUGUGAUAUCACAUUCUAGUUGUGAUCAGUAUUCUGACUAGCUGGAGUUGUCUGUGCAAAGAAAAUACAGAUUCAGUCCUUGUCUGGAAAGUCCUUGGUAUAACUGGAGAGAACUGGUUGUGAUUCUUGCAUGGCAGUAAGUUCCCAGCUGCAGUGAAGCUGGGUCUUGUGAGGAUUCCCUUGCAGCACCUGGUUUGCUUGCUUGAGCAUUCCCUGGCAGCAUCUUUUGUCUGUAGUAGUUUUUGCCAGAUAUGAAGGCAGAUCUGCAAUAAGGGAAAAUUUCUUGGGCAGUUAUUGACCUGAUGGGUCAAACAGGAAAUCUGUGGGUUUCCUGCCACCCUUUAAGUCAGGUAACAGGAUGAUCCUGGUGGGUUUUCUUUGUUUGGAAAGUAGGUACUCAUUUUCUGCUACUGUGUUUCUGAAAGGUGGUGUCUGGAGCUGUCUCUAAUUCUUGUAUUGUUGGGGAGAAGAAAUUAUAUCCUUCCUCCCAGAAAACUGCUUGAAGUUGCAAAGAGUCUUCCCAAAUGAACUAAUGAAUUAUCUUACUGAAUAUGCACACCUGAAAUAUCUCAGGUCUUCUGUUUUAUUUAGAAUUUGCUAAUUUUGACUAAGAAUCAUAGAAUGACUCCAGAAAGCACUUACUGUAGUUGUAAUAUGUAGUAGAGCUUAUAUGACAUUUUAUGUGCCUUGGGUUUGUGGUUUUUUUUUUUGCUGCCCGGUGCAUGGAUGGAUGUUGCUAAAUGUACUGGCUGAGUAGGCUGAACACAAGCUCUCUAAUAGUGUUGUAUCUAUAGUGGUUAUUACAAUAUUUAAAUUAUGUGGUUGUCAGUUAUUGUAAACGACUGGAUUUACCAAAAUAAAAAUUAGCAGCAUGAGCUUCUCAA